GCAAGUCGAGCGAUUAAAGCUCCUUCGGGAGUAUAUAAAGCGGCGGACGGGUGAGUAAGGCAUAGAUGAUCUGCCCAGAAGAGGGGGAUAGCUCGGGGAAACUUGGGUUAAUACCGCGUAAGCUGAUUCGGUGAAUACGAAUUAGUAAAGGCUUCGGCCGCUUUUGGAUGAGUCUAUGUAUGAUUAGCUAGUUGGAGAGGUAACGGCUCACCAAGGCGACGAUCCCUAGCUGGUCUGAGAGGAUGAUC
rnacentral:rRNA from 1 species